AUGAAACACAAGAAUCUCUGGAUCACCAAAAAGCUGUGGCUUUCCCAACACUGUUCAGUCCUGUGGAUGGUUCGGAGUAGAAUACAGAGUAGCCUUGUAGUCAUUACCAUCUUUUUGGAGCUUCACAGGGUCCUGCCUGACACCCUGGAGGAAGAGACACUGAACAUAAAGAGAGCAGGAAGAAUCUGGACAGGAGUGUCAGCUGUGGUGGUUAUGAAUGAGGAAAUUUAUCACAGUUUACUGCACCUCUACCUUCUGUUAGAGAGGAAGAAGAGAGGAAGAAGAGAGGAAGAAGAAAGAAAGAAAAUAAUUUAGGAAACUAACAAUUUCUGCCUCAGUCUGCUCCAACUAGACUACAUUUUCUGGUCAAAUGGACUUUUCUGUAUUUUUAUGGUUUUGCAACAAGGAAAGCCAUUCAAGAUCUUUGCCAUUGGUUUCCCAGGUUGUAAUAUCUAUACUGUACCUCUGUGACACUCUGUAGAAGAAUAUGCUACCAUGUUAGAUUAUGUCUAGAUCUAAAAAUUGCUUAUGGUUAUUUGAUUACUCUAGUAAUAUCUUUAGAAAAUUAUUCACACAUCUGUCUCUAUUCAUUAUAUCAAAAGUAUUUUGAGGAAAAAAAAACACUGUCUUUUUCAAUUUUGAAUCCCCAGAGUAUUCAACAGGAACUGGUACUGUGUAGACAUCCAAUACAUAAUUUUUAAAUUGUAACUAUUUUUAAAAAAUCAUAUUGUCUUUCAUAAGCACUGAGCAUAGUGCUUUGUUCAUAAUAAAUAUUCAUAUGUGCAUUUCUAUUUUGUGAGAGCCCAAAUCAUUUUUACUUUAAUUCCUUCAGGAUUUCUGAAAACUAGAGAAAAUUAGGACCUAUUCUCCCUUCUGUAGAAAUGGCAAAAUACAAUUAUUUUUUGUGGUUAAUAUAAAAUCUUGCAUUUGUACUGUAUAAGAAAUAGUUUGUUUAAAAUAUCUUUAAGACAUUAUUUUAUUGAAGAAUAUUCAUUCAAUUUUUGUUGCAGUUGUUUCUAUAUUUUUAAAACAGUUUAAUAACAGCUUUCACUGAGCAUUUGUCGAUGCAGAUAAUGUCCAGGUGCCAGACUGAUGUUACAAUUUUAUGUUCCUUAAUUUUAUUUUUAAAAUGCAUUUUUAUUUCUUCUGAACAUAAAAGUAAUACAUGCUCAUCACAAAUAAUUAAGUCAUUAUAAAAAAUAUUUCACAGAAAUACCAGAGAUAACAUCUGUUGAUAGUACAGUUAUUCCUACAUAGUACAAUUAUUCCUACAAUUUUUUCUACAGAUUUAUUCAUACAAAUAAUAUUUUGUGCAAUCAUUUAAGUGAAAUUAAAUCAUACUGCAUAUGCUAUUUUACAAUUUCCUCUUUUUCACUUAAUAUUGUAUCUAAACUUUAAGUGUAAAAGAUUUUUCAAGACUAGCAAAUAUAACCCAAAAAUGAAAUCAGUAUAUUGAAAUUCAUUUUCAUUCACAUAUUGAUUGGCUACCAUAUUCACAAUAGCCAAGAUAUGGAAUUAAACUAAGUGACUCUUGCAGAAGAAUGGAUAAAAUGUGCUAAAUAUGUGCAUGAUGAAAUACUAUUUAGAUAUAAAAUGAUUGCAAUCCUGUCAUUUGCAGCAACUUGAAUAGAACUGGAGGACUUUAUAUUAAAUGAAAUAAAUCAGGCACAGAAAGACAAAUACCACAUAUUGUCACUUACAAAUGGCAAUGAAAAAGCUGAUCUUAUAGUAGUAUAGAAUUGUGGUUUCCAAAACCUGAGAAAGGGGAAGGAAUAGUUAAGGAGCACAGGGUGAAUUAUAUAGGAAGAAUGACUCGUAAAGUUCUGUGGAACAGUAGGAUAACUUAUGGUUGACCACAAUUAAUUGAACAUUUCAAAAUAGCUAGGAGAAAGAAAUUUGAAUGUUUAGACACAAAGAAUUGAUACACCAGGUAAAGAGAACUACUGCAUAGUCCUUUAGUAAUAAGAUACUAAGUUGUCGGGUGGGGGAGCAUUUAUGGCCCUAUGAUUAUAUUUCCAUCUUUUGGUGAGCCUAUUCCUCUGGACUGUGAAUAUCACAAGUGUUUCUUAGUCUUCUACCAUCCCAGGUGGGAUAGGAUGGCUAGAAUGGGCUGGUGUUGGAUGUUUUCCUUUCCUCAAGUCAGUUAACUUUUGUUAAAACCCAAGCAGGUUAGGCUCUAAUUAGACAGUAUCUUCUGACAGCAGAUUUGUGUAGAAGAACAGGGUGCUUUGGUUUAUAUCAAAGUAAUUUCUGUCUCCCUCUGCCUCCCAGAAGCAUGAUGGAUUUUUCUCCAAUAUUUUCUAUGAUAACAUAGUCAAGUACUUGAUGACAAAAUUCGUAAAAACAUGAAGAUCCUCUUAUACUUAGGUCCCCUAAAGUAUUUAAUUUAAGGAUGCAUCCACAUUCAGCCUCUAGAAAUUCAGAAAUUACAGUUUAGGUUUUCUACUCCAGCACUGGUUUCUGUGGAUAUUUGGCUUUGGUAUAUUGUGAUUCUCUGUAUCUGCCUGUCUGUCUUUCCAAUUCUGGGGUUAGAAGUUGACCUUGUGGCCUCAUUUCCUUUAUGAUCCCAAGAAGAAUUGUUGAUUUUUCAGUUUGUUCAACUUUUUACUUAGAACAUAGUGGUACCUUCUAAGCUCUUUACAAGGUAAAAGGAAGCAGCCUUAAGUUUAUUAAUUUUCAAGAAUAAAAAGGUAAUAAACAUUCACAAAGCAGCUUUAUUUCACAUCUCUGACAUAUUUCUCAGCCCGUGCUUUCCCACCCAUUCAAGAAAAAAGUUUCUAACUUUAAAAUAAUAAAUUAAAUGCUGAGUGGAAAAAGCUGCAUUACCCGCCAACAAUUGUUCUCAUCGUGGUGGGGCCUCCAAUUUGUGACCAUUUGCAAUGAAUACUGCAUUUCCAACUUGUAGCCAGGCAUGGCUUCUAUUCUGUACCUCUGAAAUGUGAUGCUGUCAUCCUGGGGCAAGGAGAUUGAACCCUUAAGGACAGAUUAUCCAAAGGAAUGAAGUCUGGAUUCCUGAAACAUGGAGCACCAUGCCAGAUAAGAACCAUUUUCUGCACAUUCUAUGAGACAAAACUAAGCAUCCAUCCUUUUUAUUUUUACUUUUCCUUAAAUUCUUUUAUUGGUACAUUUUAGGUAUACGAUACGUUUACAUUUAUCAUUGGGUGUUUGUACCUGUACACGAUGUAUUUUGGUUCUUAUUUUUUUCCCCAUUACCUGUGCGCCCUUCACCCCCUCCACCCUUCCCUAUUUACAUAGAC
rnacentral:lncRNA from 1 species